UUAGACGUUAUGCUUUAUCUAAUCAAACGAGACGUACGACAUGUAUGGCCAUCUAUAAAAGACGCUUGUUGCUCGAUACUUUCUGUGGCGCCACUUGUUUUUUCGGAAACUGUUUAACCCUCAUUCCCCCUCCCCCUUUGAUUAAGUGACGUCUGUGAGCCUUAAUGGCGGUUCAGUCAGUUUAGAUUUUGGCUCACCCUUUGUGACUUUGAUUUUGACCGACUUCUCCUCCACGAUUCGCUUGAAUACCUACAGUAUCCUACCCACUUGACUGAUUUGAGUGUAUGACGUAAGCGGGCACAUGCCCGACUUGACCUGGAUUUGUUUCCCUUUGUGGGAUUUCUGUUAGUAAGUGAUUGGCCCAGUGUGUCUCAUAGUUGGGACUCACUAUUAGUCGACCUGACAGCUUCACCCCAAUCACUUAGUAGCUCGUAUGACUUGACAGGGUUGGUGAGUGACUUUAAUGUGUGUCGAUUAAGAUUGCAUGGAUUUUAUUGUAUGUCUUGACUUAGAGAUCCCUGAUUUCUUGGAUGUGAAUUGACUCCUGCCUGUGGCAGAAUUUGACUUGAUCGGUCACCCUGAGUGACCCCUGUGCAUGAUAUCUCACCCAAGCCUGUAUUUCAUCUCAGGAUUGGUGAAUAUAGUUUCGAUUUAUGCAAAAGAGUGAUCGCAUUUACAGUCCACUCUCACUAUCGCGCUAUCACCCACCGUGAUGGUGCACCAGAAUGAGAAACGUGCUCGCUGGUAAAAAAGAGAGCAUAGAUUCACGAUUGUUAUACGCCAUGGAUUGAGCAGAAGUUCCUGGACGUUA